rnacentral:rRNA from 1 species
UACAGAGGUCCCAAGCGUUGUUCGGAUUCACUGGGCGUAAAGGGUGCGUAGGCGGCCGGGUAAGUCUGAUGUGAAAUCCCGCAGCUCAACUGCGGAACUGCAUCGGAUACUCUCCGCUAGAGGAAUGGAGGGGAGACUGGAAUUCUCGGUGUAGCAGUGAAAUGCGUAGAUAUCGAGAGGAACACCAGUGGCGAAGGCGAGUCUCUGGACAUUUUCCUAACGCUGAGGCACGAAAGCCAGGGGGAGCAAAACGGGG